rnacentral:rRNA from 1 species
UACGAUCGGAACGUACCGUGUAGUGGGGGAUAACGUAGCGAAAGUUACGCUAAUACCGCAUACGAUCCACGGAUGAAAGCAGGGGGACCUUCGGGCCUUGUGCUAUACGAGCGCCGAUGUCUGAUUAGCUAGUUGGUGAGGUAAAGGCUCACCAAGGCGACGAUCAGUAGCGGGUCUGAGAGGAUGAUCCGCCACACUGGGACUGAGACACGGCCCAGACUCCUACGGGAGGCAGCAGUGGGGAAUUUUGGACAAUGGGCGCAAGCCUGAUCCAGCCAUGCCGCGUGUCUGAAGAAGGCCUUCGGGUUGUAAAGGACUUUUGUCAGGGAGCAAAACUUACUGGUUAAUACCUGGUGAGGUUGAGAGUACCUGAAGAAUAAGCACCGGCUAACUACGUGCCAGCAGCCGCGGUAAUACGUAGGGUGCAAGCGUUAAUCGGAAUUACUGGGCG